rnacentral:rRNA from 1 species
CAGCCGCCACGGUAAGACGAACCGUGCAAACGUUACUCGGAAUCACUGGGCUUAAAGCGCACGUAGGCGGCGACAUAAGUUAGAGGUGAAAUCCCAUCGGCUCAACCGUGGAACUGCCUCUAAUACUGUGUUGCUUGAGGGAGAACGGGGCAUUCGGAACUUCCGGUGGAGCGGUGAAAUGUGUUGAUAUCGGAAGGAACGCCGGUGGCGAAAGCGGAAUGCUGGGUCUCUUCUGACGCUGAGGUGCGAAAGCUAGGGUAGCGAACGGGAUUAGAUACCCCCGUAGUCCCUGUCUCUUAUU